rnacentral:rRNA from 1 species
UGGAUCCAGACUUUGAUCAUGGCUCAGGAUGAACGCUGGCGGCGUGCUUAACACAUGCAAGUCGAACGGAGGACCCUUGAAGGAGUUUUCGGACAACUGAUAGGGAUCCUUAGUGGCGGACGGGUGAGUAACGCGUGAGGAACCUGCCUUGGAGUGGGGAAUAACAGUUGGAAACAAUUGCUAAUACCGCAUGAUGCAGUUGGGUCGCAUGGCACUGACUGCCAAAGAUUUAUCGCUCAGAGAUGGACUCGCGUCUGAUUAGCUAGUUGGCGGGGCAAUGGCCCACCAAGGCGACGAUCAGUAGCCGGACUGAGAGGUUGGCCGGCCACAUUGGGACUGAGACACGGCCCAGACUCCUACGGGAGGCAGCAGUGGGGAAUAUUGGGCAAUGGGCGCAAGCCUGACCCAGCAACGCCGCGUGAAGGAAGAAGGCUUUCGGGUUGUAAACUUCUUUUCUGAGGGACGAAGAAAGUGACGGUACCUUAGGAAUAAGCCACGGCUAACUACGUGCCAGCAGCCGCGGUAAUACGUAGGUGGCGAGCGUUAUCCGGAUUUACUGGGUGUAAAGGGCGUGUAGGCGGGAGUGCAAGUCAGAUGUGAAAACCAUGGGCUCAACCUGUGGCCUGCAUUUGAAACUGUACUUCUUGAGUACUGGAGAGGCAGACGGAAUUCCUAGUGUAGCGGUGAAAUGCGUAGAUAUUAGGAGGAACACCAGUGGCGAAGGCGGUCUGCUGGACAGCAACUGACGCUGAGGCGCGAAAGCGUGGGGAGCAGACAGGAUUAGAUACCCUGGUAGUCCACGCUGUAAACGAUGGAUACUAGGUGUGGGGGGACUGACCCCCUCCGUGCCGCAGUCAACACAAUAAGUAUCCCACCUGGGGAGUACGAUCGCAAGGUUGCAACUCAAAUGAAUUGACGGA